rnacentral:rRNA from 1 species
UACGUAGGGUGCAAGCGUUAAUCGGAAUUACUGGGCGUAAAGCGUGCGCAGGCGGUUGUGCAAGACAGAUGUGAAAUCCCCGGGCUUAACCUGGGAAUGGCAUUUGUGACUGCACGGCUAGAGUGUGUCAGAGGGGGGUAGAGUUCCACGUGUAGCAGUGAAAUGCGUAGAGAUGUGGAGGAAUACCGAUGGCGAAGGCAGCCCCCUGGGAUAACACUGACGCUCAUGCACGAAAGCGUGGGGAGCAAACAGG